GAUGAAGAACGCAGCGAAAUGCGAUAAGUAAUGUGAAUUGCAGAAUUCAGUGAAUCAUCGAAUCUUUGAACGCACCUUGCGCCCUUUGGACAUUCCGAAGGGCACGCCUGUUUGAGUAUCAUGAACACCUCAACUCUCACGGCUUGUCCGUGAUGAGCUUGGACUUUGGGGGUCUUGCCGGCCUGUGGUCGGCUCCUCUCAAAUGGAUCAGCUUGCCAGUGUUUGGUGGCAUCACAGGUGUGAUAACUAUCUGCGCUUGUGGUUUUCCAUCAGAUAACCUUCAGUGAUAUGGAGGUUCGCUGGAGCUCACAAAUGUCUCUCCUUAGUGAGGACAGCUCUUUGAACGUUUGAUCUCAAAUCAGGUAGGACUACCCGCUGAACUUAAGCAUAUCAAUAAGCGGAGGA
rnacentral:misc_RNA from 1 species